UACCGGCAGCUCGAGUGAUGGCCGAUUUUAUUGGGCCUAAAGCGUCCGUAGCUGGCCCUGCAAGUCCGUCGGGAAAUCCACUCGCCUAACGAGUGGGCGUCCGGCGGAAACUACAGGGCUUGGGACCGGAAGACUUGAGGGGUACGUCUGGGGUAGGAGUGAAAUCCUGUAAUCCUGGAUGGACCGCCGAUGGCGAAAGCACCUCAAGACGACGGAUCCGACAGUGAGGGACGAAAGCUAGGGUCUCGAACCGG
rnacentral:rRNA from 1 species